rnacentral:rRNA from 1 species
UACAGAGGGUGCAAGCGUUAAUCGGAAUUACUGGGCGUAAAGCGUGCGUAGACGGUUAUGUAAGUCAGGUGUGAAAGCCCCGGGCUCCAACCUGGGAAUUGCAUUUGAGACUGCAUAGCUAGGGUGCGGAAGAGGGAAGCGGAAGUUUCCGGUGUAGCGGUGAGAUGCGUAGAUAUCGGAAGAACAUCAGUGGCGAAAGCGGCUUCCUGGUCCAGCACCGACGUCAGGCACGAAAGCGUGGGGAGCAAA